rnacentral:rRNA from 1 species
UACAGAGGUCCCGAGCGUUGUUCGGAUUCAUUGGGCGUAAAGGGUGCGUAGGUGGCGCUGUAAGUGGGGUGUGAAAUCCCGGGGCUUAACCCCGGGACUGCAUUCCAUACUGCGGUGCUUGAGGACUGGAGAGGAGACUGGAAUUUACGGUGUAGCAGUGAAAUGCGUAGAGAUCGUAAGGAAGACCAGUGGCGAAAGCGCUCUGCUGGACCUUAACUGACACUGAGGGACGAAAGCUAGGGGAGCGAAUGGG